rnacentral:tRNA from 1 species
GAUGGUAUAGCUCAGUGGUAGAGUGUAUGCUUAGCACGCACGAGGUCCUGGGUUCCAUCCCCAAUACUGCCA